AUAGCGUAUAUUAAAGUUGUUGCAGUUAAAAAGCUCGUAGUUGAACCUUGGGCCUGGCUGGCCGGUCCGCCUCACCGCGUGCACUGGUCCGGCCGGGCCUUUCCUUCUGGGGAGCCGCAUGCCCUUCACUGGGUGUGUCGGGGAACCAGGACUUUUACUUUGAAAAAAUUAGAGUGUUCAAAGCAGGCCUAUGCUCGAAUACAUUAGCAUGGGAUAACAUCACAGGAUUUCGGUCCUAUUGUGUUGGCCUUCGGGAUCGGAGUAAUGAUUAAGAGGGACAGUCGGGGGCAUUCGUAUUUCAUAGUCAGAGGUGAAAUUCUUGGAUUUAUGAAAGACGAACAACUG
rnacentral:rRNA from 1 species